GCCCCUAUAGCUCAGUGGUUAGAGGCACCGCUUAGUAAGCGGAAGGUCGGUAGUUCGAUCCUGCCUGGGGGCA
rnacentral:tRNA from 1 species